rnacentral:rRNA from 1 species
GACGAACGCUGGCGGCGUGCCUAAUACAUGCAAGUCGAGCGAAGCGGCGGAUGGGUGAGUAACGCGUGGGUAACAUGCCUUUAAGUUUGGGAUAGCAGUUGGAAACAGAUGCUAUUACCGGAUACUUAAGGAUGGACCUGGGUUGCGUUAGCUAGUUGGUAAGGGAACGGCUUACCAAGGCGAUGAUGCAGAGCCGAUUUGAGAGACUGAUCGGCCACAUUGGGACUGAGACACGGCCCAAACUCCUACGGGAGGCAGCAGUAGGGAAUCUUCCACAAUGGACGAAAGUCUGAUGGAGCAACGCCGCGUGAGUGAAGAAGGUUUUCGGAUCGUAAAGCUCUGUUGUUGGUGAAGCGGUAAUCAACCAGAAAGUCACGGCUAACUACGUGCCAGCAGCCGCGGUAAUAC